UACGGAGGGGGCUAGCGUUGUUCGGAAUUACUGGGCGUAAAGCGCACGUAGGCGGCUUUGUAAGUUAGAGGUGAAAGCCCAGGGCUCAACCCUGGAAUUGCCUUUAAGACUGCAUCGCUUGAACAUCGGAGAGGUAAGUGGGAUUCCGAGUGUAGAGGUGAAAUUUCGUAGAUAUUCGGGAAGAACACCAGUGGCGAAGGCGCUUACUGGACGAUUGUUGACGCUG
rnacentral:rRNA from 1 species